rnacentral:ncRNA from 1 species
GCAUAAACGAAGAAGAGAAAAGUAGCAUAUUUGGAAAUUACAGAGAGAGUUGGAGGCUGAGAGCAACUUAUGGAAAUAUAUGUGAAGACCGUCUCGGAGUGGCUUUAAUACAGCACGUUGAUUACGUUAUAAUCAAAUGAGGGGUAUAUUUAUAUAUCUGAAUUAAGGUGGAACCGCGUCAAUCGCCCUUAAA